rfam:Triticum aestivum genome assembly, contig: Triticum_aestivum_CS42_TGACv1_scaffold_362407_4DS
CUUGUACUCCCUCCGUCCGAAAAUACUUGUCAUUGAAACCGAUGUAUCUAGAUGUAUUUUAGUUCUAGACACAUCCAUUUUGAUGAAAAGUAAUUCCGGAGGGAGGGAGUACUUG